GAUGAACGCUGGCGGCGUGCCUAAUACAUGCAAGUCGAGCGAACGGACGAGAAGCUUGCUUCUCUGAUGUUAGCGGCGGACGGGUGAGUAACACGUGGAUAACCUACCUAUAAGACUGGGAUAACUUCGGGAAACCGGAGCUAAUACCGGAUGAUAUUUUGAACCGCAUGGUUCAAAAGUGAAAGACGGUCUUGCUGUCACUUAUAGAUGGAUCCGCGCUGCAUUAGCUAGUUGGUAAGGUAACGGCUUACCAAGGCAACGAUGCAUAGCCGACCUGAGAGGGUGAUCGGCCACACUGGAACUGAGACACGGUCCAGACUCCUACAGGAGGCAGCAGUAGAGAAUCUUCCGCAAUGGGCGAAAGCCUGACGGAGCAACGCCGCGGGAGUGAUGAAGGUCUUCGGAUCGUAAAACUCUGUUAUUAGGGAAGAACAUAUGUGUAAGUAACUGUGCACAUCUUGACGGUACCUAAUCAGAAAGCCACGGCUAACUACGUG
rnacentral:rRNA from 1 species